UACGGAGGGUGCGAGCGUUGUCCGGAAUCACUGGGCGUAAAGGGCGCGUAGGUGGCGACCUAAGUCAACGGUGAAAGCUCGGCGCUUAACGCCGAGUCGGCCGUCGAUACUGGGUGGCUCGAGCACUGUAGAGGCAGAUGGAAUUCCGGGUGUAGCGGUGGAAUGCGUAGAGAUCCGGAAGAACACCGGUGGCGAAGGCGGUCUGCUGGGCAGUUGCUGACACUGAGGCGCGACAGCGUGGGGAGCAAACAGG
rnacentral:rRNA from 1 species